rnacentral:rRNA from 1 species
GACGAACGCUGGCGGCGUGCUUAACACAUGCAAGUCGAACGAGAAUCUGUGGAAAGAGGAUUCGUCCAAUUGAAGCAGAGGACAGUGGCGGACGGGUGAGUAACGCGUGAGGAACCUGCCUUUCAGAGGGGGACAACAGUUGGAAACGACUGCUAAUACCGCAUAACAUAUAGAUGUCGCAUGGCAUUUAUAUCAAAGAUUUAUCGCUGAAAGAUGGCCUCGCGUCUGAUUAGCUAGUUGGUGAGGUAACGGCCCACCAAGGCGACGAUCAGUAGCCGGACUGAGAGGUUGAACGGCCACAUUGGGACUGAGAUACGGCCCAGACUCCUACGGGAGGCAGCAGUGGGGAAUAUUGGGCAAUGGGCGCAAGCCUGACCCAGCAACGCCGCGUGAAGGAAGAAGGCUUUCGGGUUGUAAACUUCUUUGUCAGGACGAGUAGAAGACGGUACCUGACGAAUAAGCCACGGCUAACUACGUG